rnacentral:rRNA from 1 species
CCCUUAGAUGUUCUGGGCCGCACGCGCGCUACACUGGUACGUUCAACAAGUUUACAACCUUGAUCGAUGGGUCUGGGUAAUCUUUUUAAUGCGUACCGUGCUAGGGAUAGAUUAUUGCAAUUAUUAAUCUUGAACGAGGAAUUCCUAGUAAACGCAAGUCAUCAGCUUGCAUUGAUUACGUCCCUGCCCUUUGUACACACCGCCCGUCGCACCUACUGAUUGAAUGACUCGGUGAAAAAUUGGGACUGUGAGAACAAUCGAUUCAGUUCGAAUGUACUCGUGGAAACUUUUUUUAACCUCGCCAUUUAGAAGAAGGUGAANUCGUAACA